AUACGGAGGGUGCAAGCGUUACUCGGAAUCACUGGGCGUAAAGCGCGCGCAGGCGGCUAUUUAAGUUGGAUGUGAAAGCCUACGGCUCAACCGUAGAACUGCAUCCAAAACUAUUUAGCUAGAGUGUGGGAGAGGAAGAUGGAAUUAGUUGUGUAGGGGUAAAAUCCGUAGAGAUAACUAGGAAUACCAAAAGCGAAGGCAAUCUUCUGGAACAGUACUGACGCUGAGGCGCGAAAGCGUGGGGAGCAAACAGGAUUAGAAACCCCAGUAGUCC
rnacentral:rRNA from 1 species